rnacentral:rRNA from 1 species
UACGUAGGUGGCAAGCGUUGUCCGGAUUUACUGGGCGUAAAGAGCGCGCAGGCGGUCGUUUAAGUCGAAUGUGAAAGCCCCCGGCUCAACUGGGGAGGGUCAUUCGAUACUGAUCGACUUGAAGGCAGGAGAGAGAAGUGGAAUUCCCGGUGUAGUGGUGAAAUGCGUAGAUAUCGGGAGGAACACCUGUGGCGAAAGCGGCGCACUGGACCACAACUGACGCUGAGGCGCGAAAGCUAGGGGAGCAAACAGG